UACGUAGGGACCAAGCGUUGUUCGGAUUUACUGGGCGUAAAGGGCGCGUAGGCGGCAAUUCAAGUCAUCUGUGAAAUCUCCGGGCUUAACUCGGAACGGUCAGAUGAUACUGCUUUGCUAGAGUGCGGAAGGGGCAAUCGGAAUUCUUGGUGUAGCGGUGAAAUGCGUAGAUAUCUGGAGGAAUACCGGUGGCGAAGGCGGCAUCCUGGACCGACAUUGACGCUGAACGGCGAAAGCUAGGGGAGCAAACGGG
rnacentral:rRNA from 1 species